GAUGAACGCUGGCGGCGUGCCUAAUACAUGCAAGUCGAGCGAACAGACGAGGAGCUUGCUCCUUUGACGUUAGCGGCGGACGGGUGAGUAACACGUAGGUAACCUACCUAUAAGACUGGGAUAACUUCGGGAAACCGGAGCUAAUACCGGAUAAUAUUUCGAACCGCAUGGUUCGAUAGUGAAAGAUGGCUUUGCUAUCACUUAUAGAUGGACCUGCGCCGUAUUAGCUAGUUUGUAAGGUAACGGCUUACCAAGGCAACGAUACGUAGCCGACCUGAGAGGGUGAUCGGCCACACUGGAACUGAGACACGGUCCAGACUCCUACGGGAGGCAGCAGUAGGGAAUCUUCCGCAAUGGGCGAAAGCCUGACGGAGCAACGCCGCGUGAGUGAUGAAGGUCUUCGGAUCGUAAAACUCUGUUAUUAGGGAAGAACAAACGUGUAAGUAACUGUGCACGUCUUGACGGUACCUAAUCAGAAAGCCACGGCUAACUACGUG
rnacentral:rRNA from 1 species